UACGUAGGGGGCUAGCGUUGUUCGGAAUUACUGGGCGUAAAGCGUGCGCAGGCGGCUUUCCAAGUCAGUGGUGAAAGCCCGGAGCUCAACUCCGGAAAUGCCAUUGAAACUGUGAAGCUCGAGAACGAGAGAGGUGAGUGGAAUUCCCAGUGUAGAGGUGAAAUUCGUAGAUAUUGGGAAGAACACCAGUGGCGAAGGCGGCUCACUGGCUCGUAACUGACGCUGAGGUGCGAAAGCGUGGGGAGCAAACAGG
rnacentral:rRNA from 1 species